rnacentral:rRNA from 1 species
UACGAAGGGGGCUAGCGUUGUUCGGAAUUACUGGGCGUAAAGCGCACGUAGGCGGAUUUGUAAGUAGGGGGUGAAAUCCCCGGGCUCAACCCGGGAACUGCCUUCUAGACUGCAAGUCUGGAGAUCAGGAGAGGCGAGUGGAAUACCGAGUGUAGAGGUGAAAUGCGUAGAUAUGCGGUGGAACACCAGUGGCGAAGGCGACUCGCUGGACUGAUACUGACGCUGAGGUGCGAAAGCGUGGGGAGCAAACAGG